CACAGGUACAGAUGAAAUUACUAAGAGAUGGGAUAAAGGCAGUGUAUAGAAAAGACAGAGCACACGGCCUUAGUGGAUUUCCUCAUUUAAUUCAGACAAAGAAAAAUAAUGAAAAAAGAAACAAGAAGCUGGAUUUUCUACCACUUGUUAGAGUUCCACCUUUGGAUUAAGACAUUGGAAUUUUUAAGAAGAUCCCAAAGGAAAUUUAAGUAUAUUUUUGGAAAAGCCUGGUUCCUGGCAGGUGGUGGACAGUGGAUGGGUGCUGGUCUGCUGCCUGGGUGUUGGGGACUACAGCUGUAAACCACUGGGUAGACAUUGGACCAUUUUGAGAGAUGGGCUUUUGCUAUGUUGCCCAGGCUGGAG